UAUCAUUUCAGGAAUUCUCACUACUAAAACAAAUUAGAUAACCUAUAGGAAAAGAAAUCAAGAAAACCUGCUAACAAAAUUUUUUAUGUUUUCUCUUGUUUUGAAUUGUAGCUAUGUGCAAUCCAAACACCACUCCUAAGUUCACCAAUAUCACCAAAAUUGAUCAAAAACCACCAAUAUCAUCACAAAAUCCACUCUAACCCACUUAUUUAUUGAUCUUUUAUCACUACCCCAAGAAAAUCCCAAACAAAUGCAUGAAAAAAUAACACCAUCACAAAUCUUCCAAGAAAUCAGAGAAGUUUUCAAGCUUGCAUUUGCUAAUAUUACUGGUUAUUCAGUACCUCUGGUCUUGCUUUAGAGAAAUCUCAAAAAGAUGUUGCACCAUCAAUAAAAAACAUGUUUGAGGACAAUGCUUACACUCCCCAUCAAGCAAUAUCUCCUUUACCAGAAGUUAAUUUGCAAGAUGUUGAUUUUGAUUUGGAUAUGAAUGAAUCAAAUGUCUCACUUUUAGCCUGGUUACAAAGUGUUGGGAACACAACAUAGGUAUUUUAACAAUCUGACUUUCUUGUAUAA